GACGAACGCUGGCGGCGUGCUUAACACAUGCAAGUCGAACGAAAAGAGGGAAAGAGCUUGCUCUUUCCGGAAUUGAGUGGCAAACGGGUGAGUAACACGUAAACAACCUGCCUUCAGGAUGGGGACAACAGACGGAAACGACUGCUAAUACCGAAUAAGUUCCAAGGGCCGCAUGGCCCAUGGAAGAAAAGGUGGCCUCUACCUGUAAGCUAUCGCCUGAAGAGGGGUUUGCGUCUGAUUAGCUGGUUGGAGGGGUAACGGCCCACCAAGGCGACGAUCAGUAGCCGGUAGGAGAGGAUGAACGGCCACACUGGAACGGAGACACGGUCCAGAGUCCUACGGGAGGCAGCAGUGGGGAAUCUUCCGCAAUGGGCGAAAGCCUGACGGCGAAACGCCGCGUGAGUGAUGACGGCCUUCGGGUUGUAAAACUCUGUGAUCCGGGACGAAAAGGCAGAGUGCGAAGAACAAACUGCAUUGACGGUACCGGAAAAGCAAGCCACGGCUAACUACGUG
rnacentral:rRNA from 1 species